UGGGUAGUCCGCACGAGCGCACCUCAUCUUUAGUUGCCAGCAGUUCGGCUGGGCACUCUAAAGAAACUGCCUGGGAUGACCAGGAGGAAGGCGAGGAUGACGUCAAGUCCUCAUGGCCCUUAUGGGCUGGGCUACACACGUGCUACAAUGGCGGUUACAGUGGGAAGCAAUAGGGUGACCUGGAGCUAAUCCCCAAAGGCCGUCUCAGUUCGGAUUGUUCUCUGCAACUCGAGAACAUGAAGUCGGAAUCGCUAGUAAUCGUGGAUCAGAACGCCACGGUGAAUACGUUCCCGGGCCUUGUACACACCGCCCGUCACACCAUGGGAGUUGGUUUUACCCGAAGACGAUAUCCUAACCUUUUGGAGGGAGUCGGCCACGGUAGGGUCAGCGACUGGGGUGAAGUCGUAACAAGGUAGCCGUAGGGGAACCUGCGGCUGGAUCACCUCCUUUCU
rnacentral:rRNA from 1 species